rnacentral:rRNA from 1 species
CAGCAGCCACGGUAACACCAGCAGCCCAAGUGGUGGUCGCGCUUAUUGGGCCUAAAGCGCUCGUAGCCUGGCCGGUAAGUUCCCCGUGAAAUCGGGUCGCCCAACGAUUCGGCUUGCGGGGAAUACUGUCGGUCUUGGGGCCGGGAGACGCCGAGGGUACUCCGGGGGUAGCGGUGAAAUGCUGUAAUCCUCGGGGGACUACCAGUGGCGAAGGCGCUCGGCGAUAACGGGCCUGACGGUGAGGGGCGAAAGCUGGGGGCGCGAACGGGAUUAGAUACCCCGGUAGUCCCUGUCUCUUAUA